GCUCAGGAUGAACGCUGGCGGCGUGCUUAACACAUGCAAGUCGAACGAAGCACUUUAUUUGAUUUCCUUCGGGACUGAUUAUUUUGUGACUGAGUGGCGGACGGGUGAGUAACGCGUGGGUAACCUGCCUUGUACAGGGGGAUAACAGUUGGAAACGGCUGCUAAUACCGCAUAAGCGCACAGCAUCGCGUGAUGCAGUGUGAAAAACUCCGGUGGUAUAAGAUGGACCCGCGUUGGAUUAGCUAGUUGGUGAGGUAACGGCCCACCAAGGCGACGAUCCAUAGCCGACCUGAGAGGGUGACCGGCCACAUUGGGACUGAGACACGGCCCAAACUCCUACGGGAGGCAGCAGUA
rnacentral:rRNA from 1 species